GCUUAACACAUGCAAGUCGGACGGUAGCAGGAGAAAGGUUGCUUUCUUGCUGACGAGUGGCGGACGGGUGAGUAAUGCUUGGGAAUCUGGCUUAUGGAGGGGGAUAACGACGGGAAACUGUCGCUAAUACCGCGUAUUAUCGGAAGAUGAAAGUGCGGGACUGAGAGGCCGCAUGCCAUAGGAUGAGCCCAAGUGGGAUUAGGUAGUUGGUGGGGUAAAGGCCUACCAAGCCUGCGAUCUCUAGCUGGUCUGAGAGGAUGACCAGCCACACUGGAACUGAGACACGGUCCAGACUCCUACGGGAGGCAGCAGUGGGGAAUAUUGCGCAAUGGGGGGAACCCUGACGCAGCCAUGCCGCGUGAAUGAAGAAGGCCUUAGGGUUGUAAAGUUCUUUCGGUAUUGAGGAAGGUUGAUGUGUUAAUAGCACAUCAAAUUGACGUUAAAUACAGAAGAAGCACCGGCUAACUCCGUGCCAGCA
rnacentral:rRNA from 1 species